UUUAAAAAGAAAAAAAACCUGCCUUCCCCACCCCUCUUUGUGAGUGUCUUCAAGCCACAAUGUUUCACAUUGCCAUUGCGGAAAAAACCUACCUUUGACCUGCCAAGUUACAACAGCCAUGUUCCUCUGCUGCCGCCGCCACCUUACCUUCUCACCGCUCGCCGCCGCCGUCCCCUCUCCCAGUGGACACCGCCCUCUCAAGCCAAGAACGCCCAGAGCCCCAAUCCUAGCAUCCAAGAACCCCCCACCACGGCCGUGGCCACUGCCAAGGCGGCAAUGGCGGUGGCGGUGCAGCAGCGCCGAUGCCGUCCAACCGCCACCCCUCGUCGAGGCCAGUGUCUCCGGCGGCGGCGAGAAGAAGAGCUUCUGGGCGGCGGUGAGUCUCAUCAUCGGCACGGCGGUCGGGCCGGGCAUGCUGGCGCUGCCGUCGGCCACCAUCCUCUCCGGCCCGGUCCCCUCCACCGUGGCCAUCCUGCUCUCCUGGGCCUACGUCGUGUCCUCCAUCGUCCUUGUCGCCGAGCUCAGCUUCGCGGCCAUGGAAAGCGGGGGCGUGGACGAGGUCAGCUUCACGGGACUUGCGUCGAGCACCUUGGGGGCAACCUUUGGUGGCGUCGUCGCCGUCGUCUACGCUGCGCUGAGCUUCUCCCUGAUGGUCGCGUGCGUAGCCGGCAUCGGAUCUCUGGUCUCUCAGCUCUUCCCCGCGGUGAAUCCGGUCUUGGCGAACGCGCUCUUCCCGUGCUUCGCCGCGGUGCUCAUCGCGUUCUUCCCGUUCAAGGCUGUCGAUGGCGUCAACCGCGUGCUCUGCGGCCUGAUGCUCGUCUCGAUCACGUCGCUAGUGGUGACAGGCGUCUCUGUCGGCCGGAGCAGCAUGCUGAAUUCGCUUGGCUUCGCGUGCUGGAGCCCCAGUGCCAUCUUGCCGGCCAUUCCGGUCACCGUGCUCACGCUUGGGUUCCACGUAAUCACGCCAUUCAUCUGCAACAUUGUAGGUGACUCGGUGUAUGAUGCACGCAGGGCAAUUCUCAUUGGGGGUGCUGUACCAUUGGUCAUGGUUUUGUCAUGGAAUGCGGUCAUUCUCGGAUUGGCAGGCGCGGCUGGCAGUGCAAGGUUCGAGGACCCUAUUAAGCUUCUUCUCUCGGUGAAUCCAGCGGCAUUGGCUCCCGUUCGAGGCUUUGCAUUUGCUGCAUUGGCGACGAGCUUGAUAGGAUAUGCAGUCAGCUUCCCGAAGCAGUUGCAAGACACUUUGCAGUUGAUUGUUAAGAGAUUUUCUCUGAAGCAAGGAAGUGUGGAGUUGUCCGAUGCUGGUGGUGGUCAUGGCAGGAACGAGGUGGCUCUUACAUUGGCAGUGCUGAUCAUUCCCAUAUUUAUUGUAUCAUUCUUUUCAACAGCGUUUGCCAAGGCAUUAGAUUUCGCCGGGGUUUAUGCAAACUGCUUUUUGUUUGGGAUUCUGCCUCCUGCAAUGGCGUGGAUUCAUCGGUCACAGAAAAAGAGGUCACCUGGUUCAUGUGAAGAUAUUUUGCCUGGUGGGAAUGCUGCUCUGUUGGUACUUUUCAUCAUUGCGGUCAUCCUAGCAUUCCGUCACUAAAAGUAAAAUCGUGAAGUUAUCAUUGCAACUGUCUGCAGAACUAACCAGAGUAAUCAAAAGACUUCUUCCAGUAAAAUUAGAGGGAAAAUGUUAUCAAACGUGUGCAGUACAAAUAAAAAGGUGACUUACUACCCUGGAUAUCUCUGUUUCCAACCCUAUUGGACCUUGUUGAGCUGCACUCGGAUGAGUGGUGCAUUUUCACUUCGGGCAAGAAUGGGGGUGCGCCAUGGCUAAUAUCAACGACAAUGGUGGUGCUGUUAGGAAGGGGCUUGUUUCCCUCCUCAUGCUUGUCUCGUGGGAAGCAUGGAAUGAGCGUAAUGCGAGAGUUUAUAGGAGCAUUUCAUCUCUGCCAAGUGUAAAAAUUGGUAAGAUUAAGGAGGAGGACAAACAUGGGUUGUAGCGGGCGCAAAUAGUUCGAUCAUGCCGCUAUAGUAAUACUUUGUGGGUCGGUUACCGGUUCUGUACUCUUCUUAGUUAAUGAAUAGGCAAAGCUUUUGCCCUCGUCUCAGGGAAAAAAAAACCGUACUUGCUGACAAGAUGCCCUUUUGUUUCGUAGGUACGAGUAAAAUAACGUGCCAGAUUUCAGUUGAAGCGGCGAUGCUCGCUGUACGUCGCUUUUAUUCAGAUUUCACAGUACGACCUCUUGAUUUGAAGUUUC